UUUGAUAUAACAAACUUCUUGAGCUGAUGGUAAUAACGUGUAACGUUACGUGAUUGUUGAAGUGUCUCCGUCAUCUGAUCCAUUCAGAAAGAAAAGGACAAGCGCGAGAGUAAAGCGCGGAAAAAAAGGAGAAACCCGGCAAAACACAGGAGCGAAAGUGUUUAACAACCUGAAUCAAACUGCCAUGUUUCUCCUUUUUUUCCUCGCU